AAACAUGACGACUGUAAGUCGCUUUGGAUAAAAGCGUCUGAUAAAUGGCAUAUA
rfam:Salmo salar isolate Sally breed double haploid chromosome ssa14, whole genome shotgun sequence.